CAGUCGCCACGGGAAAACGUAGGGUGCGAGCGUUAAUCGGAAUUACUGGGCGUAAAGCGCGCGCAGGUGGUUUAAUAAGUCUGAUGUGAAAGCCCACGGCUCAACCGUGGAGGGUCAUUGGAAACUGUUAAACUUGAGUGCAGGAGAGAAAAGUGGAAUUCCUAGUGUAGCGGUGAAAUGCGUAGAGAUGUGGAGGAACACCAGUGGCGAAGGCGACUCUCUGGUCUGUAACUGACGCUGAGGAGCGAAAGCGUGGGGAGCGAACAGGAUUAGAUACCCCCGUAGUCCCUGUCUCUUAUAA
rnacentral:rRNA from 1 species